UCCCUAUGUCGAACUUGAUCACGUGACUCAUCUUCUGAUUUUGAACGCUUUGACCUAUGUUCCCCAUCAUCUUUACUGUCACUCUUAUACUUUGAACUUCGACUACGAUGUUUAUCUCCAGACUUCAUAUCUGCAUCACCGCCAUUGGCAGUUUCCUUCACUUUCUGUCCCUCGGGAUUUUCAACUGUUUUCUCUAAAUAUUCAUACUCG
rnacentral:misc_RNA from 1 species